rnacentral:rRNA from 1 species
AGUCGAGCGAAUGGAUUAAGAGCUUGCUCUUAUGAAGUUAGCGGCGGACGGGUGAGUAACACGUGGGUAACCUGCCCAUAAGACUGGGAUAACUCCGGGAAACCGGGGCUAAUACCGGAUAACAUUUUGAACCGCAUGGUUCGAAAUUGAAAGGCGGCUUCGGCUGUCACUUAUGGAUGGACCCGCGUCGCAUUAGCUAGUUGGUGAGGUAACGGCUCACCAAGGCAACGAUGCGUAGCCGACCUGAGAGGGUGAUCGGCCACACUGGGACUGAGACACGGCCCAGACUCCUACGGGAGGCAGCAGAAGGG